CAGUGCUCUUCCCGUCUUUUUGUGUAAAUGAUCAUAAGCGAGUGUAAAAGACUACGCAGUUCAUAUACACGAAAAUACAUAAGUGUUAAAAUAAAUUUAUGUUAAAGUCAAAUGUAUUAAAUAGUUCAUGUGUUAAAGAAAAUUUAUAAUAAAAAUAAUAAGUGUAUUUAAGAGAAAAAAGUCUUAUAAUUAUUCAACGUGCACUGGUCACCUUAUUCACAACAGCAUUAACAAAGAAGUCAUUGCCAAGAGAAGAAAGUUGUAGAUCAGAUCAAUUCAUGGAAAACCAAGCAACAGAGAACUGGUUGAUCUUCGCCAAGUCUGCCAAACCAGAACAAUAAAAAAUCAUGUAAGUAAAAUACGAAACGAUAGAAAAAGCAUCUGAAAUCCUCCUACUGGAAGGGAUCGUACUUCAAGGCAUAUCAGUCAGUAUUAAGCAAGCGGGCUACCAAAGGUGCAACCGUAAUGAAACGAGUACAGGGGUGUCCAGCCAGGCUGAGACAGACGUGUCCUUUAAGGGCACGCAUUGGAAACAGUCAUUGGCAGGCAGACAGUCUGGCACCGGAUUAGUCUGCACUACUAGUGGUACUAGUACUGUGACCACCACGAAUAAUGUUGUUGAGGUCAAUUUCGUGAUGACUACAAAAAUAUCAAUGGGCUUAAAAGAACCAAACGUUUUUGAAGAAACAGAUACAGUUGAAGAUUCAGACGAAGAGCCACAAUGUGAAAUUACUGAUUAUGUCGAAGCACAAACAAAUCAUUGCAAAUAAGUGAAACGUAAAAAGGGACCGAUAAUUUCCGAAGAUGAACCUUCGUCUAAAAAACAUAAACUGGUUGUAUUAGCUUCUAUAUUGACAAUUUAUAUAACUAACACUUUUUAUAUUACCAUUAACAUUUUUUAAUUUAAUUUUAUAUUAUUAUAUAGGUUAAAUUGAAAGUUGACUGAAUGAUUUCAAAGACAAGGCAACUCACUACAAUCAAUAAACUCGAAGUUAAAUAAACGGAUUCUCUUUUACAACUUAAUCUUAAACGUAAUAUUGGAUUCAAGUAAUCUUCAAGCAGGAUGAAAAAAAAAUAUCGCUGAGUAAAAUUUCUAUUCUCGAUUC